rnacentral:lncRNA from 1 species
GUGGUGGCCGGCCGGAGCGCCGCCGCGCCGGAGUUUUUUUUUUGCUUUUUUUCGAAAUUUUUUUUACAUCAAAAUACUCCUCUUCCCCUCCUCUACUCGAAUCCAAGCUCAAAAUUUCGAAACCAUACACCAAAAAUCCUAGAUCUACAAAUGAAAAUGUGAAAUUUUUACCUCUUUUUCCGGUCCCCUUCUUUCCUUCCGGUUCGUUUCUGCUCCCUUACGGUCCGGUUCCGCUUUCUGCUCCGGUUCGGCCUGCUUGCUGUUCUGGUUCGGUUGUGUUGUUGUUGCUCCGGUCCGGUUGUGUUGUUGUUGCUCCGGUCCGGUUGUGUUGUUGUUGCUCCGGUCCGGUUGUGUUGUUGUUGCUUGUUUGUGAUUUGUGUGGUUAUAUGAAUAGUUUUGAGUGUUUGAUCUGA